UAACGGCGAGUGAAGCGGCAACAGCUCAAAUUUGAAAUCUGGCUGCCUCUGGGCGGUCCGAGUUGUAAUUUGAAGAGGAUGCUUUUGGCGAGGUGCCUUCCGAGUGCCCUGGAACGGGACGCCACAGAGGGUGAGAGCCCCGUAUGGUUGGACGCCGAGCCUCUGUAAAGCUCCUUCGACGAGUCGAGUAGUUUGGGAAUGCUGCUCAAAAUGGGAGGUAAACCCCUUCUAAAGCUAAAUACUGGCCAGAGACCGAUAGCGCACAAGUAGAGUGAUCGAAAGAUGAAAAGCACUUUGAAAAGAGAGUUAAAUAGCACGUGAAAUUGUUGAAAGGGAAGCGCUUGCGACCAGACUUGUGCUCGUCGAAUCAGCCGCCCCUCGCGGGCGGCGCACUUCGGCGGGCUCAGGCCAGCAUCAGUUCGCUGCAGGGGGAGAAAGGCGGUGGGAAUGUGGCUCUUCGGAGUGUUAUAGCCCGCCGCGCAAUACCCCUCGGCGGACUGAGGACCGCGCAUCUGCAAGGAUGCU
rnacentral:rRNA from 1 species